rnacentral:tRNA from 1 species
GCCCCAGUGGCAUAGCCAUAGCCAGGUGUUUGGCUGUUAACCAAAAGGUUGGUGGUUGGAGCCCACCCAGAGGCU